CAUUAAGUGGCUGAAAGUAAGUAACGGUCUCUUAAACCGCAAGAUAUCAUAUUAACAAAUGAUUUUAAUGA
rnacentral:tRNA from 1 species